rnacentral:snRNA from 1 species
GUGUUGUGUGAAAGGAGAGAAGGUUAGCACUCCCCUUGACAAGGAUGGAAGAGGCUCU